UACGAACUGUGCGAACGUUAUUCGGAAUCACUGGGCUUACAGGGUGCGUAGGCGGCUAUUCAGGUCAGGUGUGAAAGCCCUCGGCUCAACCGAGGAACUGCGCUUGAAACCGAUGGCUCGAGUCAGCUAGAGGUACACGGAACUUCCAGUGGAGCGGUGAAAUGUGUGAUAUUGGAAGGAACACCGGACGGCGAAAAGCGGUGUACUGGGGCUGGUCGUGACGCUGAGGCACGAAAGC
rnacentral:rRNA from 1 species